rnacentral:rRNA from 1 species
UACAGAGGUCUCAAGCGUUGUUCGGAUUCAUUGGGCGUAAAGGGUGCGUAGGCGGCGCGGUAAGUCGGGUGUGAAAUCUCGGGGCUUAACUCCGAAACUGCAUUCGAUACUGCCGUGCUUGAGGACUGGAGAGGAGACUGGAAUUUACGGUGUAGCGGUGAAAUGCAUAGAUAUCGUAAGGAAGACCAGUGGCGAAGGCGGGUCUCUGGACAGUUCCUGACGCUGAGGCGCGAAAGCUAGGGUAGCAAACGGG